rnacentral:lncRNA from 1 species
CAAGAAACAAAUAAAAUAAAAUUCAUAAACAAUAUAAUUCUAAAUAAAAAAAUAUAAACAACAACAAAAAUAUAUUAAACAUCACAAAUUACAACAACUACAAAAUAAGAGUGAACAUUGCAAGAGAUUCAUACAUCAAUCCAGUUUUAAUAAUACGACACAUUCUUGAUAUUGAUCAAAUACUUAAAAUACAAAUUCUUCAUAGAUGGUUCAUAACCACCAUCUUAAAAUUUAGCUGUUUGCAACAUGAAUCAAAUACACCGAAUAACGACCAAACCCAAUCAAAUGGAUAUUCUAAAGCACAAAAACCAUAAGAAAAUUACAACGUGAAACAGUGAUUACGUCAACCUACUCUAGAUAUCUAUCAAAGCAGAUUGUAACUAUCCAUGCAAUAAUCAGGAAUAGGAGAACCAUAAACAAAAUUAUAUCCAAAAAACCUGCACUCAAAUCUUCAUCAAUAAAUGAUUAGCAAAACCCAAAGAAACACAACCAAGGUUAUGAAUGAAAGAAAUUUCUUUCCCAUACUGCAGUAAUAAGUUCAAUAAUGGUUUUGAAAAAAUGAGCAACCAAUGACUAUUUAUGAGUAAAAACAAAACAGUGUUAUGACUGAAUUAACAC